UGGGGAAUAUUGGGCAAUGGGGGAAACCCUGACCCAGCAACGCCGCGUGAAGGAAGAAGGCCUUCGGGUUGUAAACUUCUUUUACCAGGGAGUAAGGAGGUGACGGUACCUGGAGAAAAAGCAACGGCGAACUACGUUCCAUCAGCCGCGGUAAUACGUAGGUUGCGAGCGUUGUCCGGAUUUACUGGGUGUAAAGGGCGUGUAGGCGGAGAAGCAAGUUGGGAGUGAAAUCUAUGGGCUCAACCCAUAAACUGCUCUCAAAACUGUUUCCCUUGAGUAUAGGAGAGGCAAGCGGAAUUCCUAGUGUAGCGGUGAAAUGCGUAGAUAUUAGGAGGAACACCAGUGGCGAAGGCGGCUUGCUGGACGACAACUGACGCUGAGGCGCGAAAGCGUGGGGAGCAAACAGG
rnacentral:rRNA from 1 species